rnacentral:lncRNA from 1 species
AUGCAUGUAUUCCUCCCAGAGACCAUGCGGCUAAAUAGACCGCCAGGCAAGGGCUGCAACCAGCAGCACCCGGUACACACCGCUUACGACCCGCUACAGCUCCCCCCUCCAGCACCGCUACCACCCCGCUCCGUCGGGACCAACGCAUCCCUCACCACCCGGCUUUACCUUGGCAGGCGACGGCAGCCGCCGGCUCCCGGAGGCGCUGCGAGCAGGAGGCGAGGCGGGCUGGGCUCCGCGGCACCGCCUGGGGGGAAAUGGGGCCGGCCCGCCGGCUGUCGGGCUUCCCGGGGCGGCCACCUCAGCGGGAGCCGCCCCGGGGCUCACAGCGCCGCCCUCCGCCUUCAGCCGCCGGGGGCAGCCGUCCCGCAGAGCCCGGGUCCGGCUCCCCUCACGGGGACACGCGGGGACUCCCCGCUGGAGGCGGCCCCGAGGGCUGUGGUGAGCCGAGGUCCCCGCUGGAGGGUGGGGGGGACCCACAAAAUGGAGCCUGAAAGCCCAGGCGGGAGGUGUCGCGUUUCCCGCUCCUCUCCUGCCCCUCGUCACCUCACGGCUAGGCCGGGCGGUUCUCAGACAGAAAGCUAUGACAGAUCAGCAUCGUUCUCCCUAAGAGGAACAGUGAAGAUGAGAAGAGCACAAGGAAAAGAAAAGCAAGGAGAAAACAGACAGGUUUUUUGCUAUUGCUCAGAGCAGUGUGUACAAAAGUCAGCUUAA